UGGAGUGGGAGUGGGAGUGGGAGUGGGAGUGGGAGAUGUGUGUGCGUGUGGAGAGUGAGCGAUGUGAGAGAAGUGUGCUUUUGUUUUGUGUGACUGGUAAUUGUAAACUUGUAUUUAAAAAACUACACAGUGAUCUUAUUUGAUCAGGCCAGAGUUUCAGCCUUGCUCUGGUGCUGAGAUGAUAAAAAUCCGACACGCUAGCUAAAUAUUUAGCAGUGUGCGUGAGGCAAUUUCGCUAAAUCAAGGCAAAUCCACGAUGGUGGUUCUGAAGUGAUGAGUUGAUCAGAUAUACUAGGGCUGGGGCCGGAUUCGGGAUUCAUUCCGGGUCUGUUACCCUGGCCGAUGAGUAUAGAGGCGAUUCUGAUCAGA